AAUCACUUGGAAGAACAUAUUUAUAUUCUCAAAAAUUAGAGAAGAUUUCAGCAAAUUGAAGAAAAAAAGGGGAAUAAAAAUAUAGAAAAGUUCAUGGCAUUUUCAACGCCAAUUGCUUUGAUUAAUGACUGCUCUGCUUCCGGUUUCUCUUUGUUUCCAGGGUCUUGUAGUUAAUUGGAUUUCUAGAGACGCACAAGUGAUUGAGGUACCACAUGGGAUUGGAACCAAUUCGUGCACCAAGGAGAACUGAAUAAUUCACGCAUUCUCAGCAUCCACCGUUUUCUAUUCCGAGUAGCAUAUUCGGAUAUCUCAAUUUCACCAAAGCCGGUUUCGUAAAACCCUGCCUGUGAUGGUGGCGGUUGUGGAGCAGCUUGGGGUGCAUUUGGUGAAUCUGGUUUGCUGGUUCUUCCUUGUGUUGCAGCACAUCUAAAUCAGAUUAUUAUGGACUCUUUCCUCCUUAACUUAUGGUUUCGGAAAGAAAUCUCAUCCAAGAAUGCCAAGGUCAACUGAGUAAAGGAGAAGAAUAUUUUUCGCGAGCAAUAUUCUUAGCAGAUCCCAAUGUGAUUGCUCUGUUGUAUGGAUCAAUUAGAUAGAAAUGGGUUAAUUCUUCACAAGGAAUUGAAAUGAGCCAAAUGAGCUAAUUGAACUAUUAACUCAAAUGCCCCUAAUAAAUUAAUGGGUAUUGGGUGGAACAAUCCUACAUCUACAGUUUGAUUAUUUACAGUUCCACAUUAUUCUUUUCUUAAAUGAGAAAUAACUCUUGAAUUAUGAUUACAUCAGAAUGGAUCAGUUUUACGUUAAAACUUUA